AGUUCCGGCCAGUUGUUUGCGGUUCCCUUAGCAGGUGGUUACUUCCAGCUUUCUCUGCCCAUUAUCCCCACAACUCAGUCUCCUAGAAACCUGGUAGUGCUCUCAAAUUCAGUUAAUGCUUGCAAUCAGUUGACGACGGUUCCUACGCUCCCGUAAUUGUUGGCCUGAUGAAUCUGUUCUUCUCACCCACCUAUAAAUCUGUCGUCGCAUCUCUACAAUAAUUAUGAAUUGCCAGAUCAAAAGGAAAAAAUAGGUGAAUGAAGAUAGUAGACACGUCCCUACGAUUGAAGGAGCGAGCAGGGUUCGAUUUAAUUGGUCUAGGGCCAUACACGUGAGCUCAAGGUUUGAUUAGAAAUAUUUGGAACCUUGAGCAGAAGAAACCAAAAUAGCUUUCUCCAAAGCCAACGAAAUCGUUUCCUCAAAUCCCCUCCUCAUAUCCAGGGUAACUACAAAACAUGAUGAGGUAGAGAUGAAGGCUUUCACACAAGUUCACAACGUAAUUGACCAACUUUUUUUUAUUGUAAUUUGUAAGUAAUAUCACAUAUAAUUUGUGAGUAUGAUUGUGUUUAUACAUGAAUCACACUUGCUUGAUUUUAAUUGACUUGCUAAUUUAGCUUCUUUUAACAAUUUAAUGCUUGGGCAGAAUUUUCGUUUUGGUACAACAAUAUGGAGUCUCAAUGGUUAUUAUAUUUUUAAAAUGGUGUCUUUAUUUUUAAUUUCGAGUGUACAACAAAAGCACAGUAUAAUCUUUUAAAGUUAAAUUGGUUUUAACUUCAAAAUAUUAGGGCCAUCUCAUGGCACAUCAUGAAUCUGGCAUGCAGAAUGGUGAACAAAAUGCCACCAUCUCUAUUAGGUUGUCCGGUUUGGAGUGGUGCCCUUUAUCACAUUUGCACAAUGGCGCCCCAAACACCACCUUACCAUAGCCAGAGAGGGCGCCACUGAAGGUCUCAGCCAAGGGAAUGGCGGGCGCGAGAGGGUGAGCAUGUGGGGCCAUUUGUUUUUUAUCCAAUCAUAAUUUAUUUUUCUUUAACUUCUUUUUUUGUUUUAGUUAAAAGCGGUUUUAUGCCACACCGUGCAAGUUAACAAUAAAUCCCCCCGCUUAUGUGUCGCCUACGUGUUGCCUAAACGGGUUUCGGUAAAUCUUGGGUUCGGGUUGAAAUGGUGGGUUGACCUGUUUUUUUUCUUUAAAUUAUGUUAUAACUUAAAAUGACUACGUACAUUAUGCCAAAUUUAAGUAUUAAAAUGGAAAUUUACAUUAUAUUUGGUUCAAAACAAUCGUUAAAUGGUUUUCAUCGGUUCUGGUAAUUAUAAAAGUCUAGCGAUUUGAUAUGGUUGGGCUAUUAUGACCAUAUAAACUUUUAUUUAUUUAUUUUAUGGGAAUCUAUUAUGAAAUUUUAAUCCUUCUGUGAUUGGUUAUUUAGGCAAUUUAUUUCAGCAUUACAUUUUUUUAUGAGAACUGUAAUGAGUGCAUUCAAAGGCUCGCUAGAACCGAACACAUCAUUAGGAGGUUUCCCUGGUAACAAUUACUAUAAAACGUGUAUUAUUAUAACUUAUUCGUGAACAUCGUCGAUAGGGAAAGCGAAGAAACUAAAAAAGUUGUGACGUGGGAGAAGGCCGCCUUCAUUCAGUUGAUAGAGCAGCCAAUCAUGGCAAAUUAAAGAGACUGAAAUGACAGACAAUGAAGCUAAGGCUGUGGGGUAUGGUAGGGCUUGGGUUUGGUUUGGGUUGGGGUAUUUGUUGACACGUGGAAUGGGAGCCCCCCCACCACCAAAACCCAUGCCCAUGGGGUAUGGUGGGGCUUGGGUUGGGGGCUUGGGUUGGGGGCAUGGGUUUGGUUUGGCCAUUGAGAGCCCGCCAUGUCACCUUACUAGCCCGCCCCACACCCGGCUUCAAACCCACGCCAAUGGGGCCACGCCCCAACCCAAGCCCCCGGAGUGGUGGCUUGGGCGUUUUCAGCCAACCCAAGCCCCAUACCCCAUGGUCUAAUAUAGAGAAGAAGAUGACAUUAAAGAAGAAGACUAACCAACAAAAGAGGUGACAUGACAGGAUAAAAAGCUAAUAGAGAACAAAAUUUCAAGUCGAGACCUACAGGUACUGUGGGUCCUGUUUUCCAUGACCCUAUAUCAGCCUUCUCCAAGCCUGAUAAAGAAGAAAAAAAGACCAAACUUUUUAGUGAAAGCUAGAAAGAGGGUUGUAACGAUGAUGAUGACGACGAUGAAAAUGAGGCGGUGAGGAGCCUUAGAACCGGUGGCAGUUUGUUGGGAUGGGUUAAAGCAGAAGAUGGAGAGAUGGGUGAAGGUUUUUCCGGUGCUGGGUGGCAUACCAAGGGUACAUAUAGAAGUAAGAGGAAAACAAGCUUGAUCUUGACCAUGACUAAUCAACGGUCAUCAAUCUGUUGCUGAACUCUGAUCAUGAAUGUAUUUAAAUGAGACUAUUUCAUGUGUUAGUACUCUGUUAGUUUUAUUUUCUAUCAUUUUGUGGUUGUAAACUGUUGGCGUUCGUCUUCCUUUUAUAAAUUAAAGAAUUGUGCUUUUGUUUGU